GAUGAACGCUGACAGAAUGCUUAACACAUGCAAGUCAACUUGAAUUUGGGUUUUUAACUUAGGUUUGGGUGGCGGACGGGUGAGUAACGCGUAAAGAACUUGCCUCACAGCUAGGGACAACAUUUGGAAACGAAUGCUAAUACCUAAUAUUAUGAUAAUAGGGCAUCCUAUAAUUAUGAAAGCUAUAAGCGCUGUGAGAGAGCUUUGCGUCCCAUUAGCUAGUUGGAGAGGUAACGGCUCACCAAGGCGAUGAUGGGUAGCCGGUCUGAGAGGGUGAUCGGCCACAAGGGGACUGAGACACGGCCCUUACUCCUACGGGAGGCAACAGUGGGGAAUAUUGGACAAUGGACCGAGAGUCUGAUCCAGCAAUUCUGUGUGCACGAUGAAGUUUUUCGGAAUGUAAAGUGCUUUCAGUUGGGAAGAAACAAAUGACGGUACCAACAGAAGAAGUGACGGCUAAAUACGUG
rnacentral:rRNA from 1 species